rnacentral:rRNA from 1 species
CUUCCGUAGGUGAACCUGCGGAAGGAUCAUUACCGAGUGUAGGGUUCCUAGCGAGCCCAACCUCCCACCCGUGUUUACUGUACCUUAGUUGCUUCGGCGGGCCCGCCAUUCAUGGCCGCCGGGGGCUCUCAGCCCCGGGCCCGCGCCCGCCGGAGACACCACGAACUCUGUCUGAUCUAGUGAAGUCUGAGUUGAUUGUAUCGCAAUCAGUUAAAACUUUCAACAAUGGAUCUCUUGGUUCCGGCAUCGAUGAAGAACGCAGCGAAAUGCGAUAACUAGUGUGAAUUGCAGAAUUCCGUGAAUCAUCGAGUCUUUGAACGCACAUUGCGCCCCCUGGUAUUCCGGGGGGCAUGCCUGUCCGAGCGUCAUUGCUGCCCAUCAAGCACGGCUUGUGUGUUGGGUCGUCGUCCCCUCUCCGGGGGGGACGGGCCCCAAAGGCAGCGGCGGCACCGCGUCCGAUCCUCGAGCGUAUGGGGCUUUGUCACCCGCUCUGUAGGCCCGGCCGGCGCUUGCCGAACGCAAAUCAAUCUUUUUCCAGGUUGACCUCGGAUCAGGUAGGGAUACCCGCUGAACUUAAGCAUAUCAAUA